AACGACGGACUGAGGGCAAAUGAAAUUAAACCAGUUGGGUGAAUUAGCUCAGCAAGGGACGGUUCACAGGAGGGUCUUUAUCUACUCUUUCCACAGACUGUGUGUGCAUAAUUGCAGGUUUUUCUGGGGGUUUUUUUGAGGUUGUACUGCCAACUGUCUUUCUCAGUCUGGGUCACUGUUGCUUGGGAUGAAAGAGAUUCUGGCUGGCUUUCACAUAUUAGAAGCUCUACAAACAAG